GGCUUUCAUUCUUCAAAAUGAGGUCCUCCAGGCAUUUCUGUCCUGUCAUUCUUGAGUUGAAAUGCUCCAUAGGGCCUGUCAGUCUGACUAGUUUCUUUGGUGCCUGGUAACAGGUGUCGAAGGAUAGUAAAUCCAACUGAGCAGCAGCGCUCAUGAACAAUUUUCAUUCAAAGGGGGGGGGAGCCCUCCUUUCUCUCCUUGAACAUCAUUCUGCAGGCAGCAGAAGUAUGUUAAAAUCGGAACACUCUGGAGACAGGUCAGUGCCAGAAACUUAUUUUUUGGGAAGGGGACCCACUCACCCACACCCACAUCUCAUUUGGUUCAUGACACCCCAUGUUUUUAAAUACUUUAAAAAUGCAAAAGCCACCAGCAACAUUUCCGCAAAACUGCCACUGAGACAAAUGGGAGGCAAAAGAGGUGAACAAAGCAAUGAUUUUGUAAAAGUCUUAUUUCAUUCCGAGUUCUGUGUGACUCAUUCCCAUUGGAUGAACUGGGCAUCUUAAUGUACCUCCUAACAAAUUUGAUUAUUGUGGGAAGUUUUGCUUUGCAUUUACUAAUAGGUAUUUACGUGAAGUGUCCUGCUUUUAAACAUAAUGGGCAUGAUCCAUAAGGAGUGUCUCCCAUGAAAACAAAUGAGAGCUGAAUCCUAAUGUGCUUUUGCAAAGCCCCACAUUUCAAUGGGGCUCCUUGAGAGAAAUCCCAAGUGGCUUGGUGCUGCUUCUUUUUAAUAAGCCUCUAAACAAAUGAGUCCUCUUGUUCCGGGAGCAGAUUCUGCUUUGCAUUUACUGGUAGAUAUUCAGCUAAUACAUUUAUUGGCAUGCAAAGAUUUUGAGCAUUUUAAAAAGGCAGAUAUUUCAUACUUUGGCAGGCAUUUUUAUAUUGUGUGCUUGAUAGGCACAACAUGCUGUUCUGGGAGCUUCAGCGAGCGUAAAUCACAGCAACAAUGAAUAAUCUGAGCCUGAUUGAAUUUAUGGUCACCAUCUUCUCUUUGGUAAAUUCUAAAUUCAUGAACUUUUAAGUGCUUCCCAUCUUUUUAAGGUUUUCCAUCAUCACAAAUUCAGAAGGAAAUAAAGCUCAGGGUGAUUUUAUGAAUAACAACAGCAACAACUAUCCUAGCAUCGCUGAGUAUUCCAGAAGACUGAAUAACUAAUUUGCUUUAGAUUUCAAUAGUUUCGUGUAGUUGCAGUUGGAGCAUAACUGAAACGGAUAUGAUUCAGAUUGUUAAUUAGUGCCUAGUAAAAUGAUUAAAAAAUAUUUGGCUACAGAUAUUGGUACCUCUUGUUUCAGAAUGCAUCUAUCCUUUGCUCCUCCUUUAACACGAUCAUAUAUAUGAAAGCUUAAAAAGUGAUUUGUGGAAACCUACAUCAUCCAGCCUUACAUACGCCCCAGUUGAUGAAAUAUGGACCAUUCCAUAUAGAGAUGGGAAAGAAAUUAAGUUAAUUGUGCAUUUUAAUACAUAUCUAACCUAAUCCACACCUCUCAUAAGAAUACAUGAACCAAAACACAGUCAUCCUUCAAAAUUCACUCUUCUAAUUUUGCGAUGCAGCUUUCUAGUGGAAAAUGUGUACAAAACUGUAUAUAUUAGGGGUAAGUGUAUAUUAAACUGAAUAUGGUGAAAAUAGCAUACAGAAGUGUAUUGCAUUAGGGGAAAUGGCUUGCAAAUCUGUGUGCAUCAGGCAAAAUUGCAGACUAAAAUGUGUAUCUUGGGAUAAACGCAAACUAAAAUGGUUUCUGUGAGGGCUUUUUAAAAAAUUGCAAAUUGAUGCAUAAGUGUGGACAGAGAAAUUGAAACUGACUGGAGUUAAGAAUAUGAAAGACAUUGUAGAACCCAUUUCUCUAAUUUCAAAAUGGAAAUAAAAUAUUGGGAUAAGGUGAAAGUAUUCCAAGGUUCAGAGUGAUUUCAGGGCAAAGAAUUAUUAAGCACAAGUCAACAUAUUCAUAGCAAAGCACAACCACUAUACCUCAUUCAUUCCUUUUCAUUUUAUGCUGGGUAAUCCCAAGGCUAAGGGCUUAUCCACACUUAACUUUUGCCCUUCUCUUUCCAGACUAGGGACACCAGCUCCUGGAGGCCGAGCCUCUUUGCCCCAAUCAAUAUUUUUUGGGUGAGGGCCGUUCCCCCACCCAUGUCCAAAAAGUGCAGAGGCAAAGCACAGAGCCAAGUGUGGUACAGUGGCUGCCUCUUUCUCCUCCUGCUGCCAUGGAGGGGAAGGAGGGCCAAAACAGCCUCCCAUCGGUGGUGGUGCCAGGAGGAGGAAGAGGAGGAGUCACCCACCAUUGAAGCCACAUGGUUUCCCUGUUUGGCUUCGCUCUGGCUCCGCCUGAUGCCAUGCAUGUGACGUUGCUCCUCUCCAUCUUUGUUCCAGGCAACGGUCCAUGGUUUAAACCUCUGUGUCCAAGAAUUGAUUUUGUUGCAGUUGUUGCUGCCUAGUGAGAUCGUAUGAGAUACUGCCCGAUGCUGGCUCUACUGCUAGCACCGCUUCUCUGCUGGCCGUAGAGGCAGCGUGGUGGGUGAGUUGACGGGGAUGGUACCAUGUCUUGGACUUCUAGUGUCCAAAGUGGCUGCCUCACCCUUCCUCAUGGGUGGGAUGGACCUGCCCCAAAUAUUUUACAGUCCUUAAAAUCUAGGCAUUAUUCAAAGGGCUUAACCCUUUCUCCCUGUGUCAUUUGCAAGAUCUCUUUAUAUGGACAUGCAUGCACACGAGCUGCUGUUAGAUGUAUGAGAGAGAUAGCCAUAGGACUAUAAUAUUAUUUGAUGAUGAAGAUCAUUGAUCUUUUGCAACCCGCAUUCAGUCCAAUUUAAGUAAAAAUGCUUCCUUGAAUUGUGAGACAGACUUUAAAAUAAUAUGUAUUUUGGAUCUAAACAUAAUAAUGCCCAAACCCAACGAAUAUCACAAUUAUACAAACCAACCUCCAUAGCAAAGCCUGGAUAUCUUAUUACAUCUUCAUUGUCUUUAGUAAGUGUAAUACAAGCACCUGAAGUAUUAUACAUGCAACAUACCUAAUUAAUGUUGCAUACCCUGCAACUUUCUUUUCAACAGAGCCUUCCUUCGAUUAACAUGAUAACCUAGGGCAAUAGCUGAUAAAACUCACAAUCAAAUUUGCAUUCCUCUAAGAUUCAUGCAAGAGAGAGGGAGAGAGAAAAAAUGACCUCAAGUAGAGUUCUGACAACAGAAAUUGUAUUAUUUGUAUUUGUAUUCUGUACAACAGAAAUUGUAUUAUUUGUAUUAUUUGAACUAUUUUAGAUCCUACAGUGGUACCAAGGUGGGUACAUUGAAGUAGAUUAGAAGAAACAAAAAAUCUCAGUUUUAUAUCAUGAACAAGUCAUAAUAACAGGAACAGAAAAAAACCCCAGCAGUGAGUAAAAGCAGUAUCAAAAUCAAGCCAAUGUAUUAAUAGCCCCUAAAAAUCUGCUGAAUAAAUGGAUUUAGAACUGGCACUGAAAAUUCAUCGGUGUCAGUGACAGUCAUAUUUCAAGGGGGAUGGAGUUUCAUGAUCAGGGCAUCAUCAUAUAACAGCUCCUUUCUUUGUUUGCCAUAUAACAGAUUUCUACUGGACUGUGGACAAUCAGGAACACAAACUUAUUAAUGCAUGGACAGGUCAAUAUGGGCCUGGCAUAAUUAUAUAUGAAGAGACUAUCCUUCAGAUAUCUAGGUCCUGAGUUUCUAACGGAUAUAUUCAACUAUGUUUCCACCAGUGCAAGGAUUUCAGUUUGUGCAAUGGAACUUCCCACCCCUCCCCUGUUUCUGUGUGUGCACCCUGUGGUUUCUCCAAAUCUGCUCCAGAAGGUCCAAUUAUAUUCAUUUAUUUAUUCAUUUUCUGUUGCACCCUUCUGCCCAAAGGAGCCCAGGGCAGCAGUCUUUCAGGACUGGUGCAAUAGGAUCCUGGGAAUUUGAACCCCCUUGCAGUGUAGCAGCCACCUUUUGCACCAGCUUUUUCUGACACCACCUCAGUUCAGUUAAAAAAGCUAGUUUAGACCUUGCAGAGUUUGAGAGCCCAGUACAUCAAGAACCAUCUCUUACCAUAUGAACUUACCCAAACCUGGAGAUCAGCAUCUUAGACCAAUUUCUGCUUGUCCUCUCUAAGAUGCGUUUUCAGGAUGUCAGUGAGGGAACAGGAUUCUUCUGCAGUAGUCCCCAGUUCCCAUGGAAGCUUGCCUUUGUCUCCUUUUCAGCACUGGACAGGUUUUUUUUAAUUACUCUUUUCCUUUGCUCAGUAUUAAUGGUUAGUGGUUGUUUCUGGUGUUCAUUGUUGGGUUUAAUAGGGCUGUAUAUCCUUCGAUGAUUUUGGAUGAAAAAAAUUAGUAUAUUUGUAUUGCUUUAAUGGAUAAUUUAUUACAUAAUUUUGUAUUUUACUUUUUUGUAAAUCACUUUUGGACUCCAGUGACACAUAAAGCUUUUCACAGAAAUACAGCUGGGAGAUUACUAGUGAAUGGGUCACAUUGUCCAAACUAUCCCUUUCUGAGAAUGUCCAUAGCUGGUAAAUAAACUGGAGCUGGGGGGGGGGAACCUCCUCUUGAUGCUAAGACCACGUGGGUAUUCAGCAACAAUGCUUUCACAUGAAGCACCCACUGGCAACGUAGCUGCUCUUUCAAAAGGGAUGUAACACCACCAUCUAACCAAUUCACAGACCUGGAUGCCACCAACCCACAGGAUGGGGUCAGGAUUCAGUUUCAGCUUAUCCUAUGUAGGGUGACUAGAUUCAAAGGAAGAAGAUGGAAUGUCAACAGGUUCAGUUUUUUAUCAUUGUGGAAUGACCCCAAUAUUACUUCCUGUCUUCAUUAUUAAAGCUGUAUCCUGUCUUCUAGUAUUCAACAUUAAGCAGCAAGCAUGUGGGCUUCCACAGGAUACACUGCUACCACAAUACAUAUGUAUCUUUUAUCCUGCACAGACAACUUUCUUUCCCUUUCCCUUUGCCUAGGAUUAGUUCAUCAUAAUCUGAUCUAAUGAAUAAACAAUGUAGGGCUGCAAAAGAAAUGCUUAUCUCCUCACCUCUUUUUAAUGAUUUCAAUGCUUUGGUUUGCACAGAGCUCACCACACCGAAAUGGAAGAAUAUUUUGUUCUAGUGUUGCACAAUUUCCCAAUUGCAUUCUUUAGACUCACUAAGACCUUAGAUGGAAGGCCACAGAGGCAUGGUAAUUGAACAGGAGGAUUGGUGGCCGAUAAGCAAGAAAUUCGAUGCUGAUAAAAGAAGAGGUACACUUUAAAAUGGAAACUUUAACUUAUUGCAUAUGUUGUGGAGCAGCUGUACAGAAAUAGGGCCAGAUGGCCAUCAGUGUUAUGUGUGAGGUAUAUCAUGUGAUAAUACACCACUUGCAAAUUUGCUUCUGCUGAAAGGUGAUGUGAAAAUUCGUCGGGUAGUAGUUGACAUCUCUGUUCUGGCUAUUUCAUAUAUGUGAAGUUGCAGUCAACAAAUUAUGAAGAUACAUGUGUGUGAACUCAGCCACUGAAUGAGUUUGUUCCAUCAAGGAGCAAGAACAGAAUCACUGAUUUAAAUGGAAAAAUUUAAUAUGUAAACAGGUGCUGGUUGUAUGUAUACCAGAACGUGUGGCAUAAAUUUAUUUAUAGAUGAUACAUGCACGUGCAAACAGAUUAGCAUGUAAUUAGAUGACUGUGUGGAUCACUUUUUGUAACUUGGUUUACUCCUAGACCAUUUUAAAUGGACAGUUGUUCUUGGAUUGCCAAGUACCCCAUUCUGUCAUAGUUUGUUGCUAACAUGUCCAGUUGUUGGCAGGGCAUCCAUAGAUCCCCCGCUUUCAUACUUCCAUACUUCCUGAAUCACACCUGGAACAAAUACAUGGUGAAGAGUUAAAUCCUGAAGUAACUUAUCAGUAAGCUGUUUCCAGUAGAUCUCCCAGCUUAAUCUGGUGUUUCCCUGGGCUCAUUCUACCUUUAUAUCCUAGCAUCUUAGAGAACAUUUAUAGACUUUGAAGGAAAGGAGAACUUGUUUAAUUAUAGUAUGUAUAUAAAAGAAAAGGGAGAUGAUUUCUCCUGAUUAGCUUUCACUGAUAUUUUUGAAGCAGGCUGUUUCAGGACUGCAGCUUUAUACUAAACCACCUUUCCUAUUGGAUUUGUUAAGUGCUCUAUUAAUAAACUAAACUCAGAAGUAAUGAAGGGUAUAAAAAAAGAAACAAGUUAAGUGAGUUACUAUAGCACUGUAAAGUCAAAUAAGACAAUGAUAAGUAGUCAAACAUAAACUUAGCUAAUACCGACCAUUAAAAUGUUAAUAGUCCAUAUCGGGUAAAAUAAAAUAUUAGAGAAAACUCUAUGAAUUAUUCAAUAUAUUGAUUUACCCGCAAGGAAGUGAAAUAAACAUGUCUUCAGUGGUGAUCU
rnacentral:lncRNA from 1 species